AUCAAUAUUAGACAGAAGUAAGGUUGUUUACAUUGGCCUGUGCAGGUGCCAGAUGUCCGCCUCUCACCAUCACUCAUUCUGAUAUUUCUGCACUCAGCGAUACACUCAUUGCCUCCAGCAAUCCUCCUCCACCACCUUCUCCUCCACCAACACCUCCACCAACGCCACCUCCAACACCGCCUCCAACACCGCCUCCCACUCCACCACCCACACCUCCUCCGUCACCCCCACCCCCCCCACCACCGCCUCCACCACCGCCACCGCCAUAAUGUUGGAAGUGACCUGCAAUGAUCGCUUGGGGAAGAAAGUAAGAGUCAAAUGCAACCCAGAUGACACCAUAGGGGACCUCAAGAAGCUUAUAGCAGCUCAGACGGGCACCCGCUGGGACAAGAUUGUCUUGAAGAAAUGGUACACAAUCUUCAAAGACCACAUAACGAUCAGUGACUACGAGAUCCAUGACGGGAUGAACCUGGAGUUGUACUAUCAGUGAGGCUGCCAACCCUGGCCUCCUUUCCCUCCCUCUGUGUAUGACCCUCCUCAAAGAUGAUGACCUAUUUUCUUUCCCUAAUUUCUCCCAACAUUUGGACAUCUGUUAAGAAAUAUUGCCAGAAUGAAUUUGAAUGUCAACAAUGCUCACUUUUUGAUAUCUUAUUUUAUAGCAUUUUCUUUUCUUUCUUUUUUUUUUUUUUUUAUAAUUGAAAAUGGACUUUGCCUAUAAUUUAAAUCUCAGAUGUGUUGCUGCAUAUUUGUACAUGAGUUUGCAUUGCAAGAGCUACGUGUGAAUAAGGUGUUAUCAGUUAUUUGCUUGGUCACAUGCAGGUAAUACAUUGCAGUAUGUUCAAUUGAUUGGAGCCAUAUUGUCAAGUUUUUAAUAAAAUUAAAAACAUGAUUAUUUUUUCUUUUAUCUUGUGAGUUCACUUAACUCUGCAUUUCCCUAAUUUUUAUACAAUGUUUGCAUUGAUGAGAAGUGCAUAUUCUAAUUUAACUAUGAGGGGAGCUGUAUGCAUUUUUCCAUUGUUUUCUGUAACUAAAGAAGAGUUGCAGAUUAUAAAAAGUGAGUUCAACUCAGUUCUUUGAACUUAGUAAAAUUCCCUCUAAGUUCUGGACUAUCUGAUUUAGCAUGCAUGAAGAAUUGCAGGAUGUGACAUAUCUAAUGGAUUGUUAUUCACAGAACAGCAAGCCCAGCUGAUGGCAAGCAUUACAGGUUGGCUGUCAUCAUCACCUGGCACUUGUAUUGCCUUUCCACCUCUGCUGCCACCUUUGUCUUCUGUUUCUUGUGAUAAAAGUGUCACUAGAAUAAUCUUUGAAUUUGUUACCACUACCACUUCUUGGCAGGUCUCGCAUCUCCAAAGCAAGCUCAAAUACAGCUGACUGCUGAUUGGCAGACUGGCUGCUCCUUACCCGAGCCAAGCCAACAGUUGUCGACCACUUACCAAUCACAAUUGCAGGGUGUGCCUAAUUCAACAAGCAGUUACAUAAUUAUAUAAUGAUUGUUUCAGUUAUUUAUUUAUUGUUAAUAACUGUCACACAAGUUAUCACAUGAAUAAGACCAGGGUUAGCUUGAAACUGUAGUUGUUGGCAGUUACGAAUGUGAAGAUGAAAACGUGUUUAAUGCCAGAUGGUACAGUAGCUCCUUUGACAUGCAAGACAAAUCCAUAUUCUAUGGAGACAUUUCUCAAGACUGGAAAGAUUAUGUCAGGUUGUGCUUAUCUUUUAGCAAUGAGUCAGCUUAACAAAUAUGGUAUGCGCUACUAGCACCAGUGAUGCAAGGCCAGCUACCUCACUAUUGUCAAAAUAUUAUGUGCAUGAAAGUCUUUGUCUUGUACAUUCUGCAUGAUUUUAUGAUACUGAUGUAAAGAGAUAUACUACAUCAUUUUUCAAUACUAUCUGAAUCUUUAGACAAAAAUUUUACUUAUCAAGAAACCUUUCUUAGUGGACGGAGGCUGUUGAGUUAUCUAUCAGGUAUUUACACAAUUUAUAGAAUGUUUCUUCUAUUUCUGUUAUAGGGAUGGAUGACCCUUCAAGACUGCAUUUCUGGCACAGCAAUAUUUAUAAAUGGUGGUGUUGGUAUUCCUUCAUACUGGAACCUAUUCAAAGUUAAGAAAUACUGAUGGAAAACUUUGGGGUGUGCUAAAUGAUUAGCAGCUGGUGGUAACUCAGAAAAGUGGUACAUUUACUGGAACACUUGGGGAUUGAAUUCCCAGAAAAAGAAUGCUUGGGAGGCCUACACCUUUCUAUCAGUCAGAUUAUGAAGUGAGUAGUGUGCACUGCUUCAGGCUGUCUUUGUGUCACUACAAACAGUUAUUUCUCUUCUCUGAGAUUGCUCUUGUUUAUUUAUUCAUUCAUUUAUUUUGUUGAUAUUUGAAGUUAUAUUUUUUUUUAGUGUAAAGUAGGUGAAGUGCAUCGUGUUGAGUGUGUACCUCUGUGGGUACCUACUAGUGGGAACACAUCCUAGAGGAGUGUUGUAGAUCCAUCAACUCACAAGCAUAAUUUCAACUUCUUUAAGUUUCAUUUUACUAAACUAAGGCCUCAUAAAGGCAGGAUGUUUCUGGUUUGCCUUAGAGAAAUCCAAAUAUGCAACUGUCCUGCAUUAGUCACUAGGGACUUUCUCUGCACACACCAAGAUUUAACCGAGUAUAUAGUACUGAUUUGGGAUAUUUUAGCCUGAAAAAUCUUCCAGUAAAGACUGUAGUGUUGAGUGAUCAUCCAAGAAAGAUCUAGAAGGUUAAGGGCAUGUGACAUGGUUACUCAACAUGAUUUAAAUAUCACUGUGCCACUCCAUGUGGAAGACAUGGUGUAAAUUUGCUUGACACAUGUCUGGUGAUUGUUGCCAAAAAAAAUAGUGAAACAGUUGCAUGACAAUGAAUCCAGUCAUUUUCAACAACAUUCAUAGGUACCUGUUUGCCAAAUAGCUCAGAGGCAAUGUUGCCAUGUUUUCAACUGCCUUGUUGAAAUACCUCAAUUGUCUGCAACAGUCCAGAUAUAUUGUCUCCAGCCUUUGUAUGAUAAUGUGUACAAGGUUUAAGACACACUAUUGUUGCUAUCAUCUGUAUUGCUAGAAAUCUUGAAACUGGAAAUUGACUGGCUGCUUGGAGCUGGUGUCAUAGAUGAAAGUACAUAUUUAAAGGAAUGCUGAGAAGUGGAUCCCUCAAGUGUACAACCUUAGAAUUCUUUUGAUCAUCUUGUCUCAAGUAGAGUUUGGUUGUAUUUGGGCAUAGUAUAGUUAGCUUAUGGAUUCUCCAUUCAAGUUGAUUCAUGAGAUGAUUAUUUUCUUCUGUCAUUGAGAAGUGUUAAAAAAACUAUUACAUCUGUAUCGACA